GCGUGCAGGAAGACGGCCCUAUGGGUUGUAAACUGCUUUUAUACAGGAAGAAACACCUCUACGUGUAGAGGCUUGACGGUACUGUAAGAAUAAGGAUCGGCUAACUCCGUGCCAGCAGCCGCGGUAAUACGGAGGAUCCAAGCGUUAUCCGGAAUCAUUGGGUUUAAAGGGUCCGUAGGUGGAUAAUUAAGUCAGGGGUGAAAGUCUGCAGCUCAACUGUAGAAUUGCCCUUGAUACUGGUUGUCUUGAGUCAUUAUGAAGUAGUUAGAAUAUGUAGUGUAGCGGUGAAAUGCAUAGAUAUUACAUAGAAUACCAAUUGCGAAGGCAGAUUACUAAUAAUGUACUGACACUGAUGGACGAAAGCGUGGGGAGCGAACAGGAUUAGAUACCCUGGUAGUCCACGCCGUAAACGAUGGAUACUAGCUGUUCGGAUUUAUCUGAGUGGCUAAACCGAAAGUGAUAAGUAUCCCACCUGGGGAGUACGUUCGCAAAGAAU
rnacentral:rRNA from 1 species